UGCGGAAACAUUGGUUCCCAUCAAUGUUUCGCCAUGUUUCCCAGCGUGGACAAACACUAGGAAGCAUUGGCGAGAAACAUAGCCAUAUUAAUAGGGAAACAUUAAAUGUUUCUAAAUUUGGUAGGAAACAUUUUUGCUUCCCGGGAAGCAAAUUUUGUUUCCGCAACAAUGUUUCCACGGGUGGGCAAACAUUUGAGGAAACAUCGAGAAUCAAACAAAUGUUUCCGCAACAAUGUUUCCUAGUUUGCCCAGGGCUUAAAGUUAUAAUGAUCUUUAACUGCAUAGUUAUAAUAUUGACUGUCUGUGCCAGUGCCAAUGGUAAUAAUAACAAGCUUUCGUUAGUAGGGAUGCCGACUAUGCCUGACUCAACUACAAAAUAGACCAAUCCCCAAUUAACCAAAAUUUUGAUCUCAACAAGUCUAGACAAAAAUUUCAUCACGGCUUGAAAGGGCAUCACAAAAUUAGUAAUAUUCCAAAGUUUCGUUGCGAA